CAAGACGCCUGCUCAGGCGUUCACACUGGCCUGAAAAUAACGUUAAGCCCGUUCACAUGCACUCUCAUUCUUAAAUUGUGUGCACGGAAUACGAGUAAAUAGCCAACAUGAAAAUGAAGCCAUUGGGUCAAAAGUGGAUUUUAGAGAGGUUAAGAUACCCCGGUUUCGUGUACGGGUAGCAUGAUUUUAGUUAGCAAUAUUUUCGUCGAUGUCUGUACCUUUACUCGUAAUUAAGGUGCACAUUUUUCGCAUUAUAUCAUUGUCUAUUGCAAGAAAGCAGAAAAAGUGUGAUUGAAUUACAGACAUCAGUAAAACAAGAUGACAC